CAAAGAACUACUGAUAUGAAUAUGUGCAUGUCUGUGUCUGUGGGUAUGGCUGCAGUUAUGGCUGUGUCUACGGCUACAUCUGCUGUGUCUAUGAUUACGUCUAUAUUUAUGUCUGCCUCUAUGGCUAUGGCUACCUUUAUGUCUAUGUCUCAUUAAAACCUGUGAGAGCUAAUAAAGAAAUCUGGCAAAGUUGCAGGAUACAAAAUAAACACAUAAAACUCUGUUGGCAUUUAUAGACACUAAAAACAAUUCAAAAAGGAAAUUAAGAAAACAAUCCCAUUUAUAAUCAUGUAAAAAGAAUAAAAUAUUAGGAAUAAAUUUAACCAAGAAGGUGAAAGAUUUCUCCAUUGAAAACUACAAAACAUUGUUGAAAGAAAUAAAAGAUUAUAUAAAUAAGUGAACAGUUAUCCCAUGUUCAUGGAUUGAAAUAUUUAAUAUUAGGAUGACAGUACUACUCAAAGUGAUCUACAGAGUCAAUGUAAUCUUUAUCAAAUUCCCAACAUUUUUUUCAGAAAUAAAAAGCUCCUGAUAAAAUUUAUGUGGAAUCUCAUGGAACCUCAAAUUGUCAAAACAAUCUUGAAAAAGUAAACAAAGUUGAAGAACUAACACUUUCUGAUUUCAAAAUUUACUAUCAAGUGAUCAAAAUAAAAACAAUGUGUUACUAUCACAAGGACAGACCUAUAAGACCA
rnacentral:lncRNA from 1 species